rnacentral:rRNA from 1 species
AGCAGCCGCGGUAAUUCCAGCUCCAAUAGCGUAUAUUAAAGUUGUUGCAGUUAAAAAGCUCGUAGUUGAAUUUCGGGAUCAAGGGAUCGGUCAUGCCUUGGUAUGUACUGGUCUUAUUGGUUCUCACCUUCUAAAGAACCAUGAUGUCAUUCAUUUGAUGUUAUGGGGAAUUAGGACUGUUACCUUGAAAAAUUAGAGUGUUUAAAGCAAGCUUACGCUUGAAUACAUUAGCAUGGAAUAAUGAAAUAGGACAUCAGAUUCUAUUUUGUUGGUUUCUAGGAUCGAUGUAAUGAUUAAUAGGGAUAGUUGGGGGCAUUAGUAUUCAAUUAUCAGAGGUGAAAUUCUUGGAUUUAUUGAAGACUAACUACUGCGAAAGCAUUUGCCAAGGAUGUUUUCAUUAAUCAAGAACGAAAGUUAGGGGAUCGAAGACGAUCAGAUACCGUCGUAGUC